rnacentral:rRNA from 1 species
GAUGAACGCUGGCGGCGUGCUUAACACAUGCAAGUCGAACGGUGAAGGCGGAGCUUGCUCUGCUGGAUCAGUGGCGAACGGGUGAGUAACACGUGAGCAAUCUGCCCCUGACUCUGGGAUAAGCGCUGGAAACGGCGUCUAAUACUGGAUACGAGCUGCGAAGGCAUCUUCAGCAGCUGGAAAGAAUUUCGGUCAGGGAUGAGCUCGCGGCCUAUCAGCUUGUUGGUGAGGUAAUGGCUCACCAAGGCGUCGACGGGUAGCCGGCCUGAGAGGGUGACCGGCCACACUGGGACUGAGACACGGCCCAGACUCCUACGGGAGGCAGCAGUGGGGAAUAUUGCACAAUGGGCGAAAGCCUGAUGCAGCAACGCCGCGUGAGGGAUGACGGCCUUCGGGUUGUAAACCUCUUUUAGCAGGGAAGAAGCGAAAGUGACGGUACCUGCAGAAAAAGCGCCGGCUAACUACGUG